rnacentral:rRNA from 1 species
UAGGGAAUCUUCCACAAUGGACGAAAGUCUGAUGGAGCAACGCCGCGUGAGUGAAGAAGGGUUUCGGCUCGUAAAGCUCUGUUGGUAGUGAAGAAAGAUAGAGGUAGUAACUGGCCUUUAUUUGACGGUAAUUACUUAGAAAGUCACGGCUAACUCCGUGCC